GUUAAGUUCAGGUAUAGCUUCACUGAGGUUUGGGUUAAGGUUAGGUUAAGUUCAGGUAUAGCUUCACUGAGGUUUGGGUUAAUGUUAGGUUAAGUUCAGGUAUAGCUUCACUGAGGUUUGGGUUAAUGUUAGGUUAAGUUCAGGUAUAGCUUCACUGAGGUUUGGGUUAAGGUUAGGUUAAGUUCAGGUAUAGCUUCACUGAGGUUUGGGUUAAGGUUAGGUUAAGUUCAGGUAUAGCUUCACUGAGGUUUGGGUUAAGGUUAGGUUAAGUUCAGGUAUAGCUUCACUGAGGUUUGGGUUAAUGUUAGGUUAAGUUCAGGUAUAGCUUCACUGAGGUUUGGGUUAAUGUUAGGUUAAGUUCAGGUAUAGCUUCACUGAGGUUUGGGUUAAUGUUAGGUUAAGUUCAGGUAUAGCUUCACUGAGGUUUGGGUUAAGGUUAGGUUAAGUUCAGGUAUAGCUUCACUGAGGUUUGGGUUAAGUUCAGGUAUAGCUUCACUGAGGUUUGGGUUAAUGUUAGGUUAAGUUCAGGUAUAGCUUCACUGAGGUUUGGGUUAAGGUUAGGUUAAGUUCAGGUAUAGCUUCACUGAGGUUUGGGUUAAGGUUAGGUUAAGUUCAGGUAUAGCUUCACUGAGGUUUGGGUUAAGUUCAGGUAUAGCUUCACUGAGGUUUGGGUUAAUGUUAGGUUAAGUUCAGGUAUAGCUUCACUGAGGUUUGGGUUAAGGUUAGGUUACGUUCAGGUAUAGCUUCACUGAGGUUUGGGUUAAGGUUAGGUUAAGUUCAGGUAUAGCUUCACUGAGGUUUGGGUUAAGGUUAGGUUAAGUUCAGGUAUAGCUUCACUGAGGUUUGGGUUAAUGUUAGGUUAAGUUCAGGUAUAGCUUCACUGAGGUUUGGGUUAAUGUUAGGUUAAGUUCAGGUAUAGCUUCACUGAGGUUU
ensembl:lncRNA